rnacentral:ncRNA from 1 species
CAACAUAUUCCCACUGCUCUCAACCGAGACCUCUAUAGGCAGUAUAAUACUUCGUCUCUCAUACCUGUAAGUGAGGGAUUUACAGGAAUAAGUUUCGCAU